GAUAUCAUGGCAAUAGAAGACGAUACGACACUAGAGAGAACAUGGGUGCGAAGUUUCAAUCCUUUUAAGAUAGAAAUAUCUGUCAAAGACCUGCAAAACAUAUUAACGACAACUCAAGAUAUGAUUCUAAGAUGUUUUGAUAUGGCUGUUCGGCUGCUUGCCAAUAAAGAGUCACGUAGACCGAAAGAAGAAAUCAUAAAUAAUAGAAAGCAUUAUAUGGACAUGCGUUUUUGGAGAAUGGUUGGUUUUGGUAAACUUCCAAAAUACCAUCAGGAUCCUACAACAGAAGAGUUAGCCAAAACACUCGAUUGUUGGCCAUCAAUGAAUUAUUAUAUCACGGGUUGUAGAUAUGUUCUCAUGCCAUGGAAAUUCAAUGGAUGUCACGCCCUUUUCGU